rnacentral:sRNA from 1 species
GCUGGGUGUGGUGGGCUCACACCUGUAAUCCCAGCACUCUGGGAGGCUGAGGUGGGUGGAUCACCUGAGGUCAGGAGUUUGAGACCAGCCUGGCCAACAUGGUGAAACCCCAUCUCUA